CCCUCUUGGCUUCCCAAAGUGCUAGGAUUACAGAUGUGAACCACUGCGCCCGGCCAGAUAUGGAAAAUUCUUAUCUAGCAUAAGUCUUUUUCACUGUGGGCAAUUUUUUGUCCCCUUUGUGAUGAGCAGUUCCAACACAAUCAACCUUCUGGUGGGUGUCAGCCUGGCUCUCCAGGGAUGGUAAAAGAAUGGGCUUCAAGGUUGAUUGCUGCUGCAGGCAAUUUGGAUGCGUAGCAGUGCAAUUGGCAAGCCAGCCCAGUGGCAAUAGAUAGGCCAGCCUUGGUGACAAGGAAUCCUCUAUGGGCCAUGUCUUACCUUUAUUCCAGCCUCUUACACUACUUUAUUAAUGAGCCCAUUGAGCAUAAACUGGGGUUGGUGGGGAGGAGGCUGACUGACAGCCAGUGUGGAUUUAUUUAUUUAUUUAUUUAUUUUUUUGAGACAGGGUCUCAUUCUCUCAUUCUGUAACUCAGGCUGGAUUGCAGUGGCACGAUCUCGGCUCACUGCAGCCGCCGCCUCCUGGGUUCAAGUGAUUCUCCUGCUUCAGCCUUCUGAGUAGCUUGGAUUACAGGCACAUGCCACCACACCUGGCUAAUUUUCGCAUUUUUAGUUUCGGCAUGUUGGUCAGGCUGGUCUUGAACUCCUGACCUCAGGUGAUCCACCUGCCUUGGCCUCCUAAAGUGCUGGGAUUACAGAGAUGACCCACUGAGCCCAGUCUCUAAUCACUUCUUUUACUAAUUAAUGAUUGGGUAGGACUCAGUGGUAGUUUUAACUAAAGUGAUCGAAACGGGAAGUACGUUUUCCAAAUCAUUAGUGGGCGAGAACAGAUUCUGAGCAGAAUUUUCAGGUGGGUCUGCCAAAGCAACACUGCAGAACUGUUCACUAGGCCUGUGGCUGACUCUGCUAUGAUCAGGGAAUAGGGAACUGGGACACCAGCACACAGCUGAUGGCUGUGGGCCACAAUCUCGCUGGCAUUCUGAAUGGCCUGCACUUGUCUUGUCACCAUCCAUGAUGCUAGAGCCCAGCUGUGGAGAGCUCUGUUAGAGCUGCUGCAGAAGGAAACAGACUACCCCCAUGAUGACCGGGCUGAGCUUGCCUGCGGCAGCCCUGACUCUACCUGCCAAUGCUGCUUCUGCUUCCCAGAUGGCACGGGCAUCACCUGGGUGUUGCCUGCUUGAUGGGAAUCAGGCCACACGUGGAACCUGGGCCCUGAAGCUGUCUGCGGUCUCCAGCAGGCACUAGGCCCACUGGCAGGGAAAUGAAACAGAACUGAAUGAGCCAACCAAAGCUGCCAAUGUGGCCAUGUCAGAGUUUUGGAAAUAAAAGGACUUAACUGAUAAAAUAUGAGGAAAAGGGGAAAGGGAUUGUUCAGGUGGGCUUUGAAGAAGAAAGAGAUGGUUUAGGAAAAGGAGCUGCUACAAAGGCAGAGUUGGAGACAGAAACAUGGAACUAAAACAUAAGAGAGAAAGAAAAAAGACAGAAAGGCAGGAAAAAGCGAAAGGAGCUUCAAGACAAAAGGGAGUGCCAACAGUCUGAGAAAGAAAGAGGAGGUGGAGAGGAUCUGGAAUCCCCCUUUGGGAGAGUAGCCAAGGUUUGCGCAGCUACACCUUCCCCCCAUUACCUACUACUGUUGCUCUUUUGAGAUGCUGGGCAGUCUGUGAGAUUUAUGUCCUGGGAACAAAGUUAACAGAGGCAGUAACAAGCAUAAAACCAUAGGCUUUAAAAGUUUUUAUCAUUUUAAGUAUUUCCUGUAUAUAUUUCCAUUGAAAACAAGAAAUAAGAACAAGCUGAUCUUUCCCUUUCUGCUUUAAAAUGUCACUUUUCAGCAAGCACAUAUUCAGUUCAGUUGACACACACAAAGCCAAAAUCCUGGCUGAGACACAUUCAAGCUAUUAUCAUCUUGGAAUUUGUUACGGUAAGUCCUGCAGGGACUGUGUGGUGUUGAGUUGGCACAGACGCACCUCAGAGAAGCAGUAGUAUAAACAGUUCUGUAUUUGCAAAAGGAAAUAAGAAAAUAAUUGAAAAAGUAAGAAAUUUAGACCAAGGCAAGUAAAAUUGGCUAAAUAAAGAACUAUUUCAAAAUGGCCUUAAACAGAGAGGGCGUAUCAAGCUGUGCUCUUCUCUCAAAGCCUCAAUUUGUCAUCUGUAAAAUGGGAACAAUGGUCCUUACUGCAUAGUUUUUGUGAAGAUUGAAGCAGAUGAUUUGGGUGAUACAAUUAACCCAGAGCCUGGUACAAAGUAUGCAUUCAAUAAAUGUUAAUUAUUAUCAUUGUUACCAUUGCUAGCAUGUUUGGUGUCAUGGCAAGGAGUUCUCUCUCUCUCUCUCUCUUUCUCGGAGUCUCACUCUGUCACUCAGGCUGGAGUACAGUGGCGUGCAAUCUUGGCUCACUGCUACCUCUUGCCUCCCAGGUUCAAGCGAUGUUCCUGCCUCAGUCUCCC
rnacentral:lncRNA from 10 species